rnacentral:rRNA from 1 species
AUUGAACGCUGGCGGGAGGCCUAACACAUGCAAGUCGAACGAGUGGCGGACGGGUGAGUAAUAUAUCGGAACCUGCCCAAUGGAGGGGGAUAACUACUGGAAACAGUAGCUAAUACCGCAUACCAUCAGAUGGGCCCAUAUGGGAUUAGCUUGUUGGUGGGGUAAAGGCUCACCAAGGCGACGAUCCCUAGCUGGUCUGAGAGGAUGACCAGCCACACUGGAACUGAGACACGGUCCAGACUCCUACGGGAGGCAGCAGUGGGGAAUAUUGCACAAUGGGCGAAAGCCUGAUGCAGCCAUGCCGCGUGUAUGAAGAAGGCCUUCGGGUUGUAAAGUACUUUCAGCGGGGAGGCGUUACCCGCAGAAGAAGCACCGGCUAACUCCGUGCCAGCAGCCGCGGUAAUAC